GUAACAAGUUCUCUGAGUCUCUGGACCUCUUGCUCUUUAUUAGCACAAAUUGUCCUAAAGCAAAGCAAAUAUGCAUAUCAAAGGUAAGGUUUAAUAUACAGUAGGCAUUGUCAGUUUUGGGGGAACUGUCUUGGCUGUUCAGGUUUUUGGCCAGCAGGAGGCAAUAACAUUAAAUUGAAAUGCCCUCAGUUGUCUGGAACAGCAAACAUUUAAGC